AUCUAGCCGAAGAGUCCCAAAAUAGGACGAAACGCGUGUCCUUGAU
rfam:Schistosoma curassoni strain Dakar, Senegal genome assembly, scaffold: SCTD_scaffold0007253